GAGGGGACCCGCACAAGCAGCGGAGCGUGUGGUUUAAUUCGUUGCUACACGAAGAACCUUACCUGGGUUUGACAUAUAGGUUGUAGGGAACUGAAAGGGACCGACCCUUCGGGGAGCCUAUACAGGUGUUGCAUGGCUGUCGUCAGCUCGUGUCGUGAGAUGUUCGGUUAAGUCCGCUAACGAGCGCAACCCUCGUCGUAUGUUAUAUGUGUCAUACGAGACUGCCGGUAAAAGCCGGAGGAAGGUGAGGAUGAUGUCAAGUCAGCAUGACCUUUAUAUCCAGGGCUACACACACGCUACAAUGGUCUGUACAAUGGGUAGCCAAGCCGCGAGGCGGAGCCAAUCCUGAAAGCAGGCCUCAGUUCAGAUUGCAGUCUGCAACUCGACUGCAUGAAGCCGGAGUUGCUAGUAACCGCAGGUCAGCAAUACUGCGGUGAAUACGUUCCCGGGUCUU
rnacentral:rRNA from 1 species